rnacentral:rRNA from 1 species
CCUACGGGCGGCAGCAGUGAGGAAUAUUGGUCAAUGGGCGCGAGCCUGAACCAGCCAAGUAGCGUGAAGGAUGACUGCCCUACGGGUUGUAAACUUCUUUUAUAAAGGAAUAAAGUGAGGCACGUGUGCCUUUUUGUAUGUACUUUAUGAAUAAGGAUCGGCUAACUCCGUGCCAGCAGCCGCGGUAAUACGGAGGAUCCGAGCGUUAUCCGGAUUUAUUGGGUUUAAAUGGAGCGUAGAUGGGAUGUUAAGUCAGUUGUGAAAGUUUGCGGCUGAACCGUAUAAUUGCAAUUGAUACUGGCAGCUGGGAGGACAGUAGAGUGAGGAGGAAGUCCGUG